rnacentral:lncRNA from 1 species
UUUUUGGAUUUAUACAUAAUUUAUUUGAAUAUAGUAUGCCGGCUGCCCAAAUAUUGUUUACAUAUUCAUUUUCCCAUUAAUUUGAACUUCAUUUUCAUCAUCUAUUUUCCCACCAUCACUGUACAUCUGUCAGGAUGGCUGUUAUCCAAAAAAAAAAAAAAACACCAAAAGACAGCAAGUGUUGGUGAGGAUAUGGAGAAACUGGAACCCUGGCACACUGCUGGCAGAUAUGCAAAAUGGCACAACUGCUACGGAAAACAGUAUGGAAGCACCUUGAAAAUUAAACAUAGAACUACCAUAUAAUCCAACACUCCUAUUUCUGGGCAUUUAUCCAAAAGAAUUGAAAUUGAAAUCUUAAAGAAAUAUCUGCCAUUCCCAUAGUCAUUGCAGCACUUUCCACAGUAGCCAAGAUAUGGAAACAACCUGGAUGUCCACUGACAGAAGAGUGAAUAGGAAAAUAUGGUACAUACGUAUGUACAGCGCAAUGCUAUUCAGUCUUAAGAAGGAAAUUCUUCCACUCGACACUGUGGAUGAACCCGCAGGACACAGUAUGUUAAGUAAAAAAAAAGCCAGACACACAGGAGUUCAUCAAGUGGGUUGUUUUGUCUUUUUAGGGCCGAACCCACAGCAUAUGGAGGUUGCCAGGCAAGGGGUCAAAUCGGAGCUGUGGCUGCUGGCCUACACCACAGCCACAGAAAUGCAGGAUCCAAACCAUGUCUGCGACCUACACCACAGUUCACGGCAACACCGGAUCCUUAAUGCAUUGAGCGAGGCUGGGGAUUGAACUUGCGUCCUCAUGAAUGCUAGUCAUAUUCGUUUCCAUUGACAGGAACUCCUUAAUCAAGUUUUAAAUUGCAAUCAUCUUCUCAGUUAUUGCUUUUUACCAGUUCCCUGGGUGUCUGGUAACCUCUCUGGGCCCUAACCUGUGUUGGAUUCUCUCUCCUACCUGAGCAUGGGACGAGGAGUUCAGCCCAACUAAUUAGACUGUCCCCUGCAUGCCCUGGUCUUAUGCCACAUCCCGGUGAAUGGUGGGGAACAUCAGCUCUGUGUCACAGGUGGUGGUGGUGGGGGGGGGUUGGACGACUGGUCAGCCCACGGACCACCCUCUGCCUCCCAGCCCGUUUCCUCAUCACAGCCUUCCUGUAACAAAGGCUCCCGGAACCCUCAGCAAGGGCCAGACUGAAGGAAGAGCUCAGGGAGGGUCUUGGCUUUCACACCUGCAAUCCUCGAGGCACCGUCUCUCUCUCCAAGGUCAACAGAAAUGGCUUAAAUGUCACCGAAGCCAAGGUGUUGGUUCUUGAGGAUCACCAACUGCUUCUCGUCAUUGAUCAGGAGAUGACCUGAGAGGUGAACUGACUGCUUUGACUAGUCGAUUCUAUGAGUUUCUUAGGUUAGCACAAAAUGUGCCCUUGAAGGUGCCUGGUAGGGUGUUUCACAGACCCAUUCUCCAGAUGAAGAAACUGAGGCACAGAGAAGUCAAAAUGGUCAGCCAAGAAUGAGAACCUGAUGACAGCUCUUAGGUAUUGAGCAUUUACCCUGUGCCAGGCCCAGAGUGAAGGUUUAUGUUUUCCUUCCCAGUCCUGGAAGCAAAGUGGGGGGGGGGGGCAGGGUGUGCCAGGAAGUCUGGGGGAGAUGGGAGGUAUGGUUGAGUCCUGGCCCCCCCUGACCACACCACCAGGAUGCCAACCUGGUUCUGCCAGUGAUGGGCUGUGAAGGUUUCUAACUCUGGGCCUUCGUUUUCUCAUUUGUAUAAAGUGGAUAAUAAUAGCAUAGAAAUCAGAGGGGUUUUGUGAGGAUUAAGACAUGGCUUAAGACAUGCCAAACACUUGGAAUGGAGCCUGUGGCAUGGCCAGCAAUCCAACUACUUUGCAUCCAUGUCAUACAGAACGGGAAACAGAGUCAGAGAGGUAAAGUGACUUGUCUUUGCUGGAAUUCAAUCCAAGGCCUGUUUUACGCCAAAGCCCAGUCUUUUGUGACUGCGUGGGCACACACAGGGCCAGGGAAGUGGCGUCAGAAUGAGGGAGAAAUGGAGCGACUUGGUUUUACUGAUUCUGCCAUUGGGCUGAGACCCUGACCCUUCUGGGCUGGUUCCUCCAGGUUCCUUGCCUUGUCCUCGUUUGCUGCACUCCUUCCUGUUGGCCUUUAGGGGGCACCAUUGAGCCGCAUUCACCAAGUCCAGGCCAAGGGUCCUCCGAAGGGUUUGAAAUUACACACGAGGAAGGGAAAAGGAAAACUUGAAGGCUGAAAUCCCAACUGCUAAGACUUUUGUCUUGAUAACAAAUAAGUUCCUAAAAAACCAAAAUUGCUCCCCUGUAGGAAGGAGAGGAUUUUUCAGAAGUCAAGUUUAUUGCAAUGUGUGUUAUUUCUUUGCUCUAAGUACUUUAAAAAGAACACAUUAAAGCUACUUUAAAAUACACACACACACAGCCUUAACUUUGUCAGGGACCGUGUCUUAGCCCAGCUCACCACUGAGAGAACAAGAUAAACGUUUGCCCCUGGUGGAGGGUAACAGGGAUCUAACACAUUAGAGAGAAUGGGAGUCCUGGAAAAUAAUUGGCACUGAUUUUCCCUUGGCUUAUUUGCCAAAUCUGAUGUGCCAAACUGGGGGGCUUCCCUGGAAAGCUCAAGUGUCUGGGUGCUUGGAGCCCUGGCCUUGUCCACCUGGGGCUAGGCCAGGUCCACUCUCCCUCUCCCUGACCUGACCUGGAUGCCGGCCUCUGGGGUCAGCCUCUCGAGGACUGUCAAAGGCCCCACGACCACUCUUUUAUUCCAUAAAAUGUGCACUCUGAUGAUGCCUCCUUCUCCCUCCGCCCAGGCAUCAGCAAGUGUAGAAGAGGGCUAAAGAAAAUGCUUCAAACCACGGGGCAAGCAUCUUCUGACCAUCUCUGGAUGGAGGCACCUUCAGGUGCAUUCCCCAUUUCAUCUCUGCCAACGAUCUCUUGUGAUCAUCCCUGUGUCACAGGGUACAGAGGGGGUUAGGUGACUGGAUGCCACUCAGUGGCCAAAGGGGUUUCCUGGAGGUUCUAGCUCCUUUGAUUUAAGUCCAGGGGUCUUUCAAAGACCAGAUCUGAACUGAGGAUGGACUCCCUUCAUUGGCUGGCUCUCUCUCCUCCCUUUUCGCAGGACCUCCCAGGACUGUGCUGAUAAGAUCUUUUGGCUCCGUCUCCCUCUGCCCCGCCUCCAACUCAUGCCUCCUCUCAUCCAACAAAGUUCCCCUUUAUCCGAAGGCCCUCACUUCCAGCAGAACCAUCAGGGCCAAUCUGGUGGAGUCUGGGGACAUUCAGAAGGUGGGUUUCCCUGGACCCCCAUUCUGGUCCCAGCCUUCUUGGCUUCAUGUUCACGUCCAUCUCCUGCAGCUCUGGCCAGACUUCUUUCGCUCUACAAAAAGCAAACGCUUCCAUAUGGGAUGGAGAACGUAUCCCCAAUGUCUUUCUUUGGGUGAUUCUAGUUUACAGUUCCUUUGCUGAAAAAAAUUGUGGGUUGGGAAGCGGAAGGAGAAGGGUCAGGGACCAAGACACAGAAGGCACAAGGCGCUGUCCCUCUGGGGGGAGCCUGGUCCUGAGCAGUUAUGCGGGGGGCGGGGGGGGGUUGGGGUUCGGAGACCACCUCAGUGAAUUGAGCCAUGUUCAGAUCCAGGCUGUCUACAUCCUUUAGAGUGACCCUGCUCUCCACACCGGCCCGCAUCAGCAGGGCUCCACCAAGAAAGGUGGAGCCGGGAGCUGAAUAGGAAUGAAUGAAACCGCCCCCACCCCCACCCCAGCCCUUGAUGGCCUCAGUGAGGUCUGGCAGCCCCUUCUGUUUUCUGCCCUGCGGUGUCGGUGACCAUUAAACACUCCUCAGGGACACAGAGAAUCAGACUUGCCCUCAGAAAACACGGAAUCCUGUUCUUGGAAGGGGCAGUCGCAGAAAUGGAGCCCUCUUUAAAAAGGACUUUAGAGGGCAAAAAAAGUCUAGCCCUUUACUUUCUAAAAAGCAAGUCAAAUUCAUCUGCUUUUUUGAGGGAGUUCCCGUCGUGGCGCAGUGGUUAACGAAUCCGACUAGGAACCAUGAGGUUGAGGGUUCGAUCCCUGGCCUUGCUCAGUGGGUUAAGGAUCCGGCGUUGCCGUGAGCUGUGGUGUAGGUUGCAAAUGUGGCUCGGAUCCUGCUUUGCUGUGGCUCUGGCGUAGGCCGGUGGCUGCAGCUCUGAUUCAACCCCUAGCCUGGGAACUUCCAUAUGCCGCAGGAGCGGCCCAAGAAAUAGCUAAAAAGACCAAAAAAAAAAAAAAAAAAAAAAUCAUCUGCUUUUUUGAAACAAACAGCGGUACAGUUUAUAGUUGACAGGCUUCGGCUGCAGUUUUUCCUCUUUCAUUUGUUUAUGAAAUGUUUGUGCUCCUCACCUUUAGGAGGAAAUUUCACGCCUCCUUCUGAAUCUGUCAUUGCUUGGAACGUCCAGCUAUACCUUAUCCUCAAUUCCGGAGCGCUGGUCAAAUGCAACCCUUACAACUUCAUCCUGGUGAACCUUCAGGCGGCGAAUGCCUGUGGCUCCAUCGGUGACCCCAAUCCAGAAAGCAGGCCCUCUGAAAGCCACCGAGCUGUGGUCAUGCGGGGGCCAUCAGGGGAGCAUCCAGGGUCACUGGGCAACCCCAAACCCAGAGAGCCAGGCCAGGAGGGCUGCUGUUUUUUGAUCCUCAGGCAGGAGGCAGCUGGAAUCUUCCUGAUGACAAACAGCUCGUGGCCAGUGACUGGGAGUGGGGAAGGGGUGUUACAGUGUCAAGUGGCUCUCUGUCCUCAUCCUGGUCCCUCUCUUCUUUUAGGGUUCAGCCUGGGGAGGGGGUUCAUGCUACAGAGAGUUCUCUCCUCACAGCCUGUGUCUACUAGUGGCCCCUGAGCUCAUGGGUGUGCAGGCCCAGGGGACACGAAAGGGGGGCACAGCCUUGGAUUUUUAUGGGGCAGCCGUCUGUCAUCCUGCUCUCUCGGUCCCCAUUUUUCUUUCCUGGUUAAUCUCCUUCCCCCGUAGGUGACCACAUUCCCCACCCCUGGCCCUCCCAACAUUUCAGGAAGGAUGGAAGAGGGCAGGCCCUCUUCCUGGGGGGCAUUCUUUGCAGGACACUAGAGAAAACUGUUACUCAAAAUAGCAGGAAGAUGGUGAAUUUCUUUUGAUCUCUGCCAUGAGCCUGGCUGACGUGUAAGACCUGGCCAGGCUCACAGCCUCCACGGGGCCCCAGGGCCUCUCCAGACCCAGAAGGUCUCACUGUGGCUCAGGGGCAGCACCAGCAGCACCAGUUGGGUUGGGGAGGGGGCCUAGCAAAUGUGAAUUUCUUGGGUUGCAUCUGCUGGAUUCAAGCCUUGGAACCAACCCCACCCGCCUCACAACAAUCCACAGCAUCUAAUUGCUCUUUCCUUUUCAUUUUAUUUAGUAACUGGGUUCAGCCCAGGAAACUCUGGCUUCCAAUCUUUGAGUGUUUUGACUCAAGGACCGUAAACUGUCUGAUUUCUUGGACAAACACAAUCUUGAGGAAUUUUUCUCUUUACACAAUGGCCUGGCCGUGCGAAUGUCAUGGCUUCCCCAUUCAAGACCUGGUAGAUUUUUUUUUUCUCUUUCCUACAGACGUCAGUCUACUUAAAAUAAAUAUUCCCAUUGGUUUGGGGGCCUUUUCCUUUGGAUUAUUCACCUUUAUUUCUGGGAUUAGAAAGCAGCUGGCAGGCAGAGAUAGGUGGGCAGGAGAAACAGACACCCAAGAAACCCAAGUGGCCUUGG